rnacentral:rRNA from 1 species
UGGGGGAUAUUGCACAAUGGGCGAAAGCCUGAUGCAGCGACGCCGCGUGGGGGAUGAAGGCUUUCGGGUUGUAAACCUCUUUCGCUAUCGAACAAGGCCCGCUUAGGGUGGGUUGAGGGUAGGUGGAGAAGAAGCGCCGGCUAACUACGUGCCAGCAGCCGCGGUAAUACGUAGGGCGCGAGCGUUGUCCGGAAUUAUUGGGCGUAAAGGGCUUGUAGGCGGCUUGUUGCGCCUGCUGUGAAAACGCGGGGCUUAACUUCGCGCGUGCAGUGGAUACGGGCAGGCUUGAGUGUGGUAGGGGUGACUGGAAUUCCAGGUGUAGCGGUGGAAUGCGCAGAUAUCUGGGGGAACACCGAUGGCGAAGGCAGGUCACUGGGCCAUUACUGACGCUGAGGAGCGAAAGCAUGGGUAGCGAACAGG